rnacentral:rRNA from 1 species
UACGGGGGGAGCAAGCGUUGUUCGGAUUUACUGGGCGUAAAGGGCGCGUAGGCGGUCAGCACAAGUCAGUUGUGAAAUCUCCGGGCUUAACUCGGAAAGGUCAACUGAUACUGUGCGACUAGAGUGCAGAAGGGGCAACUGGAAUUCUCGGUGUAGCGGUGAAAUGCGUAGAUAUCGAGAGGAACACCUGCGGCGAAGGCGGGUUGCUGGGACGUGACUGACGCUGAGACGCGAAAGCGUGGGGAGCAAACAGG